rnacentral:rRNA from 1 species
AGCUCCAAUAGCGUAUAUUAAAGUUGUUGCGGUUAAAAAGCUCGUAGUUGGAUCUCGUCUAAGGGGUCUUGUCCACCGGUUGGUGGUUACAGGUACCCCCAGACUAUACUGGUGAACUCAUUUGCCCUUAACCGGGUAAUUGGGUAUUGACCAGUACGUUUACUUUGAACAAAUUAGAGUGCUCAAAGCAGGCUUUUAUAAGCCUGAAUAAUCUUGCAUGGAAUAAUGGAAUAGGAUCUCGGUUCUAUUCUUGUUGGUCUUCGGAACUUGAGAUAAUGAUUAAGAGGGACAGACGGGGGCAUUCGUACUGCGGCGCUAGAGGUGAAAUUCUUGAACCGUCGCAAGACGAACUACAGCGAAAGCAUUUGCCAAGGAUGCUUUCA